rnacentral:rRNA from 1 species
CGAGACGGGUGAGUAACGCGUGGGAAUCUACCUGAUGGUACGGAAUAACUCAGGGAAACUUGAGCUAAUACCGUAUGUGCCCGAGAGGGGAAAGAUUUAUCGCCAUCAGAUGAGCCCGCGUCGGAUUAGCUAGUUGGUGGGGUAAAAGCCCACCAAGGCGACGAUCCGUAGCUGGUCUGAGAGGAUGAUCAGCCACACUGGGACUGAGACACGGCCCAGACUCCUACGGGAGGCAGCAGUGGGGAAUAUUGGACAAUGGGCGCAAGCCUGAUCCAGCCAUGCCGCGUGAGUGAUGAAGGCCCUAGGGUUGUAAAGCUCUUUCGACGGGGACGAUAAUGACGGUACCCGUAGAAGAAGCCCCGGCUAACUUCGUGCCAGCAGCCGCGGUAAUACGAAGGGGGCUAGCGUUGUUCGGAAUCACUGGGCGUAAAGCGCACGUAGGCGGAUCGUUAAGUCGAGGGUGAAAUCCCAGGGCUCAACCCUGGAACUGCCUUCGAUACUGGCGAUCUUCGAGUCCGGGAG